rnacentral:rRNA from 1 species
AUACGUAGGUGGCAAGCGUUGUCCGGAUUUACUGGGUGUAAAGGGCGUGUAGGCGGAGAUGCAAGUCAGGAGUGAAAUCUAGGGGCUCAACCCCUAAACUGCUUUUGAAACUGUAUCCCUUGAGUAUCGGAGAGGCAGACGGGAUUCCUAGUGUAGCGGGGGAAUGAGUAGAUAUUAGGAGGAACACCAGUAGCGGAGGCGGCCUGCUGGACCACAACUGACGCUGAGGCGCGAAAGCGUGGGGAGCAAACAGGAUUAGAAUCCCUGAUAGUCCACGCUGUAAACGAUGAAUACUAGGUGUGGGGGGACUGACCCCCUCCGUGCCGCAGUUAACACCAUAAGUAUUCCCCCUGGGGAGUACGAUCGCAAGAUUGAAACUCAAAUGAAUUGACGGGG